rnacentral:rRNA from 1 species
CCUACGGGAGGCACCAGUGGGGAAUAUUGCACAAUGGGCGCAAGCCUGAUGCAGCCAUGCCGCGUGUGUGAAGAAGGCCUUCGGGUUGUAGAGCACUUUCAGCGAGGAGGAAGGUGGGGAGCUUAAUACGCUCAUCAAUUGACGUUACUCGCAGAAGACGCACCGGCUAACUCCGUGCCAGCAGCCGCGGUAAUACGGAGGGUGCAAGCGUUAAUCGGAAUUACUGGGCGUAAAGCGCACGCAGGCGGUUUGUUCAGUCAGAUGUGAAAUCCCCGGGCUCAACCUGGGAACUGCAUUUGAAACUGGCAAGCUAGAGUCUCGUAGAGGGGGGUAGAAUUCCAGGUGUAGCGGUGAAAUGCGUAGAGAUCUGGGGGAAUACCGGUGGCGAAGGCGGCCCCCUGGACGAAGACUGACGCUCAGGUGCGAAAGCGUGGGGAGCAAACAGGAUUAGAUACCCGUGUAGUC